UCGACCCGUUUCUCCAGCCCGUCGACCCGGCGACUGAACCCGAUCGGAACUUCCCUCGUCCGGCCACUUCACAGCGGCGCACUGGUCGUGCUCGAUGCGUCUUCUCAUCGUGGUUCCUCCUCUGGUCACGGAUCGUCCAUGCAUGGAGUAAGAAGAGAGAAUCGAAGCCCAAAAGCUUCGGGUUUUCCGGCGAAGCUUCUGCAGUUUCCGGCGAUCUUCGGGGUUGCGUGAGGCUUCUUGGUUUAUUUUCGAUGUUGGUAUUCGCCUGAGAGUGUGAGGUUGAGGCUUGAUCAUGCUAAAUUCGAUCACUUGAGAUAAGGAUGCAUGCAAGCUCGAGAGUGAUCAGAGAGUAGCAGCGCUGUUGACAUCGAGCUAUAGUGGCGCUGUUGACAUCGAGCUACAGUGCGUUAUGCUCAGGGAUGGGACUCGAAGUUGAAUCUAGAAUCAACAGUCAUGAUUAACACAGUGAAGGACUCCAGUUACCCGAGGAACGGAAGAUUCGUGACUCUCAGAGUACGUGAAGAAAAGCAUCGGAAUCCAGUGUGGAUGCAGGUACUGUGCACUGGUGACGGGAUUGACGGACGGAGCAGGGUGCGCGGAGAUAGCUUCGGUGAAUAGUAGUAACUAAAUUCAGGUUCCGUGUCUAGUCUUGAACUCUAUCUCUUGAGAGUCGUUAAUUUGGAACUUGUUAUUCCUUAUUUCGUCUUGUAACGGAGUGUACCAACUCUUAUUUACCCUAGUGGAGAUCUAGAAGCGCUUUAGACGAAUAAGUUCGAUAAAUGAUUCUAAAAAGUUUUCACCUCGAAAAGUAUUUCAACGUUUCCGCUACGCGAUUUACGAAAAGCGAUUUAACUAAAAUGCCUUGCGGGUUUUUAGGAUGUAAACUGAACAUUCAGUUUAUGUCUUAGAGACACGCGGCACUGUGACGUGCUCAAGCUGAUGAGGUGCAGUUUGGGGC